rnacentral:rRNA from 1 species
AAUGAACGCUGGCGGCAGGCCUAACACAUGCAAGUCGAGCGGCAAGGAGGACGGGUGAGUAAUGCCUAGGAAGUAGCCUGUUGGUGGGGUAUAACUUCGGGAAAGGGGCGCUAAUACAGCAGACUUGCAAAUGAGCUUAGGGGGGAUUUGCUGGUUGGUGGGGUAAGGGCUUACCAAGGCGACGAUCCGUAACUGGUCUGAGAGGAUGAUCAGGCACACUGGAACUGAGACACGGUCCAGACUCCUACGGGAGGCAGCAGUGGGGAAUAUUCGACAAUGGGCGAAAGCCUGAUCCAGCAAUGCCGCGUGUGUGAAGAAGGUCUUCGGAUUGUAAAGCACUGUAAGUAGGGAGGCGUUACCAACAGAAUAAGCCACGGCUAACUACGUGCCAGCAGCCGCGGUAAUAC